UACGGAGGGAGCAAGCGUUACUCGGAAUUACUGGGCGUAAAGGGCGCGUAGGCGAUUUUGUAAGUCUUGUGUGAAAGCCCAAAGCCUAACUUUGGAAGUGCACAAGAUACUGCGAGAAUUGAGUUCCGGAGAGGAAGAUGGAAUUCCCAGUGUAGAGGUGAAAUUCGUAGAUAUUGGGAAGAACACCAGUGGCGAAGGCGGCUCACUGGCCCGUAACUGACGCUGAGGUGCGAAAGCGUGGGGAGCAAACAGGG
rnacentral:rRNA from 1 species